UACGUAGGGUGCAAGCGUUGUCCGGAAUUAUUGGGCGUAAAGCGUGCGCAGGCGGUUUCGUAAGUCUGUCGUGAAAUCCCCGGGCUUAACCUGGGAAUGGCAUUGGUGACUGCACGGCUAGAGUGUGUCAGAGGGGGGUAGAAUUCCACGUGUAGCAGUGAAAUGCGUAGAGAUGUGGAGGAAUACCGAUGGCGAAGGCAGCCCCCUGGGAUAACACUGACGCUCAUGCACGAAAGCGUGGGGAGCAAACAGG
rnacentral:rRNA from 1 species